rnacentral:rRNA from 1 species
CACCAGGUUGAUUCUGCCUGACGUAGACGCUAUUCCCUAAGAUUAACCCAUGCAUGUUUUUGACAUUUGAAAAAUGGACUGCUCAGUAAUACUCACUUUAUUUAAUGUACAUUUGAAAAUAACUACGUUAAAGUGUAGAUAAGAUGUGUACAGUAAGAGUGAGACCUAUCAGCUAGUUGUUAAGGUAAUGGCUUAACAAGGCAGUGACGGGUAACGGUAUUACUUUGUAAUAUUCCGGAGAAGGAGCCUGAGAGACGGCUACUAAGUCUAAGGAUUGCAGCAGGGGCGAAACUUGACCUAUGAUAUUAUAUUGAGUCAGUUAUGAGUAGUAUUUUAUAAUUAUUGUAGUAUUGUAAGUACAUAUUACAAGAUAAAUCGGAGGGCAAAUCGAGUGCCAGCAGCCGCGGUAAUACUUGUUCCGAUAGUGUGUAUGAUGAUUGAUGCAGUUAAAAAGUCUGUAGUUUAUUUAUAAUAAGCAUUGUAAGGUAUACUGUAUGGUUAGGAGAGAGAUGAAAUGUGAUAACCCUAACUGGAUGAACAGAAGCGAAAGCUGUAUACUUAAAUGUAUUAUUAGAACAAGGACGUAAGCUAGAGGAUCGAAGAUGAUUAGAUACCAUUGUAGUUCUAGCGGUAAACUAUGUUGAAUCAUAGAUAUAUUUUGAUAUAUAUUUAUGUAGAGAAAUUAAGAUUAUAUUGACUCUGGGGAUAGUAUGAUCGCAAGAUUGAAAAUUAAAGAAAUUGACGGAAGAAUACCACAAGGAGUGGAUUGUGCGGCUUAAUUUGACUCAACGCGGGGUAAUUUACCAGGUAUAACAUGAUAUAAUAUUUUAUCAUGAUAGUGGUGCAUGGCCGUUUCCAAUGGAUGCUGUGAAGUAAUGAUUAAUUUCAACAAGAUGUGAGACCCUCAUUUAGACAGAUGUAGUGAUACAUAUGAAGGAGAGGAUUAAAACAGGUCCGUUAUGCCCUAAGAUAAUCUGGGUUGCACGCGCAAUACAAUAAUAUUUGAUAUUAUAAGGGAUAAUAUAAUGUAAGAUAUAUUUGAACAUGGAAUUGCUAGUAAAUUUUAUUUAAUAAGUAGAAUUUGAAUGAGUCCCUGUUCUUUGUACACACCGCCCGU